CGGCCGCGCUCACCGUUAACCAGUUCACCUGCUCAUUUUCGGUGGGCCGCCGCGCGCGCCGCGCUCGCCGCGCUCCUCCGCGCCCACGGGGCAUCCAGGCCCAGCCGCGGCUGCUUCGAACCGACGAGUCUCACGACGUCGUCUUCACACAGACAAGUGGGACACGAGCGCGUGACGCUAGCAGAAGCGCUGCUCCGGGCACCAGGACCUUGUCGGCUCGGUCGGCUGGCUGUGGUGAAGUGACGGCCACCUGCAUCCCAACGACUCCACUUUCUAAAGAAAUCAUUUCCACGACCCACUCAGCCAGGCCAGGCCGAGGGUUUGAGUUGCCCCUGAUUCGAAGGUGCUGCUUCUGGAAGGCACAGUGUGUGUCCCUGUUCUGUUUAUGGUGGAACCUGAUUCAACGAGGGUGGAAACAAGGCCACACUUUUCAUCAGUGGUCUUGUUUGAAACUCUGCCCCUGAGGUGACAGGCAGCUCCCACCUAGGACCGGUUAAGAUGGGAGAACGGGGAAGCUUGGCUUUCAUCACUCUUCCAUCUGGAAUACCUACUGGAGUCACUCUCUCAAGAGGCAUAAGCAAGGAGAAAUAUUCCAAAAUAAGAGUCUCAUGAUAGCAAAAUUCUUGAUCUGUGAUCUUGAGAAAAGCUGUUCGCAUCAGGGAUGCCAUCUACUUCGUGGGAGAAACUUCCUGGUUAGCUUUACCUGAACGGUUCCGAUGGGUGUCCAGUUCCAAGAGUGUGGAGAGACACUUCUCAGUCGUGAGAUGAUGAACUCAAGGCUCAAGAUUCCAAAGUUGUUUUUUUUUUUCUUAUCCUCUCCUUCUUGAAAUUAGUUUCCAAAGUUUGCCUGCAGUGUGGAUGGAAAGGGCGGUCUUUCUCUGAUAUUCUCCGAAGAUCCCAUCUUUGAGUUCCAGAUGGUAAACGGGUUGAUUGCCCUCAGUGAACCAUAAAGAAGCUUUCUUUGCUUGAUAAAAAUACACUGGGGCACAAUUACUUAGUGUUAGAACAUCAGCCCUUUUGCAUGGGAAAGUUUUUAUAUAACCAGAAAACAUGCAUCAAAAAUGACAAUGAAAUGGAAUUUUUUGAUAAAUGUUUAAAUGGCCCAUCAGAUUGCCAAAUGUACCUGAAGCUUUGUCUUUCCAGGAAUGUGAAACCAAACUCUUGUUAUAAACUAUUUUUGCAAUUUAUAAGUCACCACAUCAAUAUGUUUAAUUUGGAUGAUUUUACCUCUUCCAUGACGAGGUAUGGAAUGCAGAGCUUUUACUAAUACAAGCUUUAAGGACUCAGGAAGGACAAGGAGGCCAUCCUGGUGCUCUGUGAGUCCAUGCUUAACAUUGGACUUAUGUCCUCUUGAAUAUCACCUAAUUUCUCCAAAUUAGGUGCAUAGCACGGGUAACUCAUAGGUUAUCACAGGUAACUUGACUUAGACCUUAGAUUUCAUUCAAAUUGUAUAUCUCAACAAUUUCAGUAUUGGCUGAUUUAGCAUGAAAAUCUGGCAAACUAUUUCUUGGCGUUCAAUAAAUUUUUGUUCUACUUGAGUUAGCAGUUUUGGAACCCAGUCAGUCUUUCUAUUAAAGUUCCAGGAAUUCUUAUGCAGUUCAGAUGAUAUGAUUCUAAAGUUGUUAGAAACUUGUAUUUAAGAGUGAUAUUCAGGAUCGUCUCCAUGCUUUCAUGAACCUCCUAAAAGACACCAUGCUUUUGAAGCGUUCAGAAACUGCAUCAGCGUUAAGCAAUUCACGUGGAAAUGGCUUUAAAUAGUUAUAAUUAAAACCAUAAUCCCAGCACUUUGGGAGGCCAGGUCAGUUGGAUCACCUGAGGUCAGCCGUUCCAGAGCAGCCUGGCCAAUAUGGCAAAACCCUAUCUCUGCAGGCGUGGUGGGCACCUAUAAUCCCAGCUACUUGGCGGGUUGAGACAGAAUCACUUAAAUCUGGGAGGCAGAAAUUGCAGUGAGCUGAGAUCACCCCACUGCACUCCAGCCUGGGCAUCAGAGCCAGACUCCACCUCAAGAAAAAAAAAUAAUAGUUAUAGUUUAAAACACUAUAAGUAGGAACCUUUAACACCUUAACUAGGAAAUUUGGUUAUUUCUGUGGUCUACAAGAACAUAAUAACCGUAAUUAUGCUUGACAGCAUAUACUCAUACAUAUUAAAAUCACACAUAUUAGAAUUUUAGAAAUCCCAUCAAUUUUAGAACAUAUAUUAACAUAAUUCACUGAAGUAUAACCUGAUGAUUAAACAAUAUUUUUAGUUUAACAAUGCUUCCUUUGUAACUUAACAUGUCAGAUAAUCCUGUUGACCUCUCUUUUGGAUGUUUCAAGGACCCUCUGUCACAUCCCAAAGUUAGAGAUCAGAAAAGACCAUUUUGAAGCUGAUAUUUGCUUUUGAGAGGCCUAUCAAAUAUGUUAAAGGUUUAAAACACUUGAUAUUAUGAAAUAGAAUUACAGAUUACCGUAAAUCAUUCAUUUAGCCAAAAUGAUGACUCAGAAAACUUUUUAAAGGCAAAAAUCUUUGCUCAUUGAUACGGGGAAUAUUUAGCUUUCUAAACAAUCUGUCUCUUGUCUUUCCUUUCUUUUUUGGUAGUUGAUACAAAAGGCAAACAAAAAUCUUUCAUUGUCUUUUAAUAUUACAAGAAAAUCUUGUUCAAGAGAGAAAGCCAAAUUUCACUCUUGCAUUAGUCUGCUGUUAAUGUCACCCCAAAGUUUGAUAACCCUUACAGACAAAUCUAUUCAAUCUUAAUCAGUUUGGCCGUAAGGUGAGAUUCUCAUAAGCCUUUUUUAGCCCUUUAAAAUCUUUGUUAAAGAAUAGAUUCGCACUUUAAGAAAACCCUGUUAUACUUUUAUUUCAAUGUUCAAUUUAUGGAAAAACUGAAUCAUACCCCCUUAAAUUUAGCCAGUAUAUUCGCACACAGAAUUUCUUUUACAAGAUUAAUUUUUUAUAGCCCUUGAUUAAACGUUUAGCUUUAUCUUAUCUAAUUUAAAACAAUCCUUUAACCCUUUAAACUAGGCAAACAUUUACAUUCCUAUGCUUAUAAUCUUUUAUCAAAAACACAUUUCACUCUCAUCACAUACCUUGCAUGUAAAUCUAUUUUUUUCAGUAGUUUCAAUUACAUGUUGUAAUGGUAAUUCUUAGCAACUUUCACUUUUGGUGCCUAAAUUUCCUUUCAUGAGUCCUUUCUCACCUUACAUAGACCAUAUACGACAUGGUUGGGUUUCUGACCCAUCUUAAACAUUCCUCUUUUGUGUUUUGUUUUUGUUUUUGUUUUGAGACGGAGUUUCGCUCUUGUUACCCAGGCUGGAGUGCAAUGGCGUGAUCUCGGCUCACCGCAGUCUCCGCCUCCUGGGUUCAGGCAAUUCUCCUGCCUCAGCCUCCCGAGUAGCUGGGAUUACAGGCACGUACCACCAUGCCCAGCUAAUUUUUUGUAUUUUUUUAGUAGAGACGGGGUUUCACCAUGUUGAACAGGAUGGUCUCGAUCUCUUGACCUCGUGAUCCACCCGCCUCGGCCUCCCAAAGUGCUGGGAUUACAGGCUUGAGCCACUGCGCCCGGCCCAACUUUCCUCUUCUUAAGUAACAAGUCAUUUAAUUUAGGACAAGAAUUUGCCAUACAAGAUCCUUUCUUUUAUUGAAUCUCUUUUCUCCAUAACCUUAUUUGCAUAGCUGGGGAUAUGGCUAAUUCCACAUGUCCCCAGGCCUUAAAAUUCAAAGCAGUUUAUCACCUUAAGGCAUUUAGCAAACCUAGUAUUUGACCUGCAUAAUUCAGACCAAAUGUCUUCAUUUUCCAAUAAUCUUUAAAACUUUUUAUUUCCCAAAGAUUAUUGAAAU